AAUAAUUUUAUAAUAUCAAUAUUUAUUUCAUUAUAAUUUGGUAGCAGUAACAGUCAAAUCAAAAUCAACUAAUAAUAAUAAAAACAACCAGUUGUCACACUUUCCCCUCCCCAAUCCACCUUUACCCUUCCUCACCAACUUCCCCUUCCUAACCACCCCCAUCUCCCACCGUCCCCCUCGCACCACCAGCGCACUCUGCCGUGUAUUGUUCCCGGCCUAUAUAACCUCGGCACCCAGGCUAUUUGCCGCAGUCUUCCGGUUGUUUGUCACGAAGGCUGUCACUUGGGGCUGGCGUCGCAUUGGUAUGUAUUCGGCUGUGAAACUUAAUUUCUGUAAUUUUCAGUAAUUAGUAUGUUUUCUUGUUCUUGCUUGCGCGUUGUGGCCGCGGUUUCACUUUUGGAUUUUCGCCAUGUUUAGUAAUGUUCGUAAUCUCUCUUGGACCCUUGAGGUCGGUGCUUAAUUGGAUUCUUUGCCUCAGCUUCUUUUGCUCACGCCGAGUACUACCGGUAGCUUAUCUAACAGGUUUUUUCUGCAGUUGUAUAUGGGCAUGCCAUGAUGGCUUUGGACACUUCUUGUCAAGCCGCGUCGUAACAUUAAUUGUAAGUGUAAUUUCUUUCUUUUUUUCUUGUUGUUGCCUAGCGGCCCAUAUGAUUGUGCUACGUUAAACGCGUCGUCAGCUUGCCCCAUUUAUCGCACCAUUGUUUUAACUUGUAUUCCCACGGGAAUCAAAUUAUUAUAUGCAUAUUAUAUGCAUUGUUACUAAUAAAUUGGCUUGCUUGUUAUUUCACAUUUUUGUGACUAUUUCUUGCAGCACGAGCGCACCACUGUCGUGGUCGUAUUGCAACGAACCCUUGUUGUUUGUGUUGAUUUUCAGUUUAAGUUGUAGGUGCGGCUACAACUUCUGCGCUACUCUGCUUCGGCAGUGGUUUUGCUGUGUUUUGAUUGUUUUUUCAUGACCAUGAGCGGCUCGGGAGUCAGCUGGAUCUACCAGCUUUACCAAGAUGAGCUGAUACGGUAUCUCGAGGAGAACCAGCUGCCUGCAUCAGCGAGCGACACCGUGGCUUACAUGCGCGCCCGGCUCGUUUAAUUCAUCCGCGAGGUCAUUGACGUCUCGUCUGGUGUUACGACGGCGCAGCCCACACUGGAAAGCAAACACACCUUAAUGUGAAUUAAAAUGGGUCGCAGAAAGUUUUCGGUGUGGACAUAUUUUGAAAAAGAAA